rnacentral:rRNA from 1 species
GAUGAACGCUGGCGGCGUGCCUAACACAUGCCAGUCGAACGGAGUCGUUUUGGAAAUCUCUUCGGAGAUGGAAUUCUCGACUUAGUGGCGGACGGGUGAGUAACGCGUGAGCAAUCUGCCUUUAAGAGGGGGAUAACAGUCGGAAACGGCUGCUAAUACCGCAUAAAGCAUUAAAUUCGCAUGUUUUUGAUGCCAAAGGAGCAAUCCGCUUUUAGAUGAGCUCGCGUCUGAUUAGCUAGUUGGCGGGGUAACGGCCCACCAAGGCGACGAUCAGUAGCCGGACUGAGAGGUUGAACGGCCACAUUGGGACUGAGACACGGCCCAGACUCCUACGGGAGGCAGCAGUGGGGAAUAUUGCGCAAUGGGGGAAACCCUGACGCAGCAACGCCGCGUGAUUGAAGAAGGCCUUCGGGGUGUAAAGAUCUUUAAUCAGGGACGAAACAAAUGACGGUACCUGAAGAAUAAGCUCCGGCUAACUACGUG